rnacentral:lncRNA from 1 species
GAAACGCUGUGCAGCAAUUGCCCUCAAAAGUUUAUUUUACAACCUAGCAAUGAUGUAUAUUUCCACUUCCUGCCUCAGCACAUUCAUAAUCAACAAGAAGUAUUGUUUUCCCUGCAGUUAUUCUUCACCUUAGUUAUGCAUUCUUUGUGACCUUUUCCACAUGAAUCAAACACCAGAGAUUAUAGCCUAAAGGAUUUGGUAUACCUCUGUUAAGGCCUGAAGAUGUGUUUGCCUGGAGUAACUACAGCCCUCUACAAACAAAAAAUGAAAGUCGGAAAGUGAAGAAUU